ACUCACGUCAUUUUAAAAUUAAUCCAUGUAAGACAAACAAGCAAAAAGAUGUUUGCAAGGAAAAUGCAUAAAUUUCUAACAUCCUUUCAAUUAAAUAAACAUUACUAAUUGCACGAAAAUGUAAUCAACGAUACACAAGAGAGAGAAAGUUUACAAAAAGAACGAUUAAACAGUGAAAACUUUUUCUGCGACCGACUACAUACACGUGUUGUCAAGGAUAACGCGACAGCACCGUGGGCGAAGGCGUGUUGUAUUUAACUGGGUAUAACAUCUAGUAGCAUAUGCCUCACGUGGUUGCAGCCUAACGCGUCAGGAUGGUCCUCCAAUUCAGAACCACGCUUGUCACCUUCGCCCUUUUGAUCUGCGGUUGUGAGGCUUAUAUGAAGUUCGACGUCGCCGGUUGCCAUGUCUACCGUUCCACAGGAAUGUGCGGAAGUUGCGUCGGAGGCUGCUGGCCCUACUGGAGCAACGAGAACAACACGUGCGGCUUCUGCCGCCGCUGUCAACCCUGCCCGAACGGUCGCCUAAUGGACGAGCUCUGUAGAUGCACGGAAGAAUGUCCGCUGGGGAAGUUUGGCGAUGACUGUAUUCAGAGUUGCCCGUACAAAUGUCGCGCCUGUGAUCGUCAUACCGGUACCUGUUUGCUCUGGUGUAGCGAGCUGUGUAUAGACGGGUGCCAGCUAUCCACGGGGUUCUGUCGCUAUAACACGUCCAAGCUGACGUCGUGUAGGGACACUACCAGUCCUGUGGAGCAAAUCUGUCCGGAGUAUUCCGAUUAUGUCCCACGGAUUUAUCUGCGCUAAUUGUGAAUUAUCAGUGGUGUAUGAUUGAUUACAUGUAGCUCAAAACACACACACAUACAUUAUCAGAUUGAGUGUAUGUUUUGCUUGAAAAAUGUUGUACUAUUUAUAUAUCGAUGUUGGUUUUUGGAAUAAUUAAUUGAUUCAAACAAAAUUACAUUUGAUAAAAUUCUU